rnacentral:rRNA from 1 species
GAAGGAAGACUGUUCUAUGAAUUGUAAACUUCUUUUGUGACAGAGUAAAGAUAGCUACGCGUAGUUAUUUGCAAGUAUGUCAUGAAUAAGCAUCGGCUAACUCCGUGCCAGCAGCCGCGGUAAUACGGAGGAUGCAGGCGUAAUCCGGAUAUAUUAGGUUUAAAGGGUGUUCAGGCUGUCUGGUAAGUCAGAGGUGAAAGUCGGUUGCUUAACGAUCGAAUUGCCUUUGAAACUGUCAGACUUGAGUAUGGAUGCGGUAGGCGGAAUGUGUAGUGUAGCGGUGAAAUGCAUAGGAUAUUACACAGAACACCGAUUGCGAAAGCAGCUUACCAAACCAGCACUGACGCUGAAGCACGAAAGCGUGGGUAGCGAACAGGAUUAGAUACCCUGGUAGUCCACGCAGUAAACGAUGCUCACUCGCUGUUGGCAAUAGAUCGUCAGCGGCUAAGGGAAACCGAUAAGUGAGCCACCUGGGGAGUACGAUCGCAAGAUUGAAACUCAAAGGAAUUGACGGGGGCCCGCACAAGCGGUGGAACAUGUGGUUUAAUUCGAUGAUACGCGAGGAACCUUACCUGGGCUUAAAUGUACGAUGCAUAAGUGUGAAAGCACUUUUUCCUUCGGGACUUUGUACAAGGUGCUGCAUGGUUGUCGUCAGCUCGUGCCGUGAGGUGUCGGGUUAAGUCCCAUAACGAGCGCAACCCCUAUUGUUAGUUACCAGCGCGUAAAGGCGGGGACUCUAGCGAAACUGCCGGUGUAAACCGCGAGGAAGGUGGGGAUGACGUCAAAUCAGCACGGCCCUUAUGUCCAGGGCUACACACGUGUUACAAUGGCCGGUACAGCGGGCAGCGAGGCAGCGAUGCCGAGCGAAUCUCGAAAGCCGGUCCCAGUUCGGAUUGGAGUCUGCAACCCGACUCCAUGAAGUGGAAUCGCUAGUAAUCGCGCAUCAGCCAUGCGCGGUGAUACGUUCCCGGGCUUGUACACACCGCCCGUCAAGCCAUG